AGUUUUUUCGCCUUAUAACAAGAUUCAGGCAAACAAUCCCCUUCAGGCAACAUUCUUUUAAUUAACUCCAGUAAAGUUGUGAAGAUCUCGUCUGGCAUUCCCGCUAAACACUUGAUCUGAUACAAUCUUACAACUGCUUCUAAUUUCUUAAACUCCUUACACCCUGGCCACAAAUCUUGAUCUGCCUCUUCAAGCAACCUAAAAAAAGUCUCCACCUCUUCUGGACGCCCUUCCCCAAUAAACG
rnacentral:lncRNA from 1 species